AUACGUAGGUGACAAGCGUUAUCCGGAUUUACUGGGCGUAAAGGGCGUGUAGGCGGUCUUGCAAGUCAGAAGUGAAAUUCCUGAGCUCAACUCGGGCGCUGCUUCUGAAACUGCAGGACUUGAGUGCUGGAGGGGAUAGCGGAAUUCCUAGUGGAGCGGUAAAAUGCGCAGAUAUUAGGAAGAACACCGGUGGCGAAGGCGGCUAUCUGGACAGUAACUGACGCUGAGGCGCGAAAGCGUGGGGAGCAAACAGGAGUAGAUGCCCUGGUAGUCCACGCCGUAAACGAUGAAUACUAGGUGUAGGGGGUAUCGACUCCCUCUGUGCCGCAGUUAACACAAUAAGUAUUCCGCCUGGGGAGUACGGCCGCAAGGUUGAAACUCAAAUGAAUUGGCGGGG
rnacentral:rRNA from 1 species